UACAGAGGGUGCAAGCGUUAUUCGGAUUUACUGGGCGUAAAGAGCGUGUAGGCCGUUUGAUAAGUCUGAUGUGAAAGCCCUGGACUCAAUCCAGGAAGUGCAUUGGAUACUGUCAAACUAGAGUGCAGGAGAGGUAAGCGGAAUUCCAGGUGUAGAGGUGAAAUUCGUAGAUAUCUGGAGGAACAACAGUGGCGAAGGCGGCUUACUGGACUGCAACUGACGCUGAGGCGCGAAAGCGUGGGGAGCAAACAGG
rnacentral:rRNA from 1 species